rnacentral:rRNA from 1 species
UACGUAGGGGGCGAGCGUUGUCCGGAUUUAUUGGGCGUAAAGAGCUCGUAGGCGGUUUGGCAAGUCGGGUGUGAAAACUCCGGGCUCAACUCGGAGACGCCACUCGAUACUGCCAUGACUCGAGUCCGGUAGGGGAGUGCGGAAUUCCUGGUGUAGCGGUGAAAUGCGCAGAUAUCAGGAGGAACACCGGUGGCGAAGGCGGCUCACUGGCCCGGUACUGACGCUGAGGUGCGAAAGCGUGGGGAGCAAACAGG